rnacentral:lncRNA from 10 species
CUCAUUUUUCUCAUAUUUUCACAUUUAUCUCUCCUUCAUUCAGAAGCAUUUGUCAAUCUGCCUCUAUCCAUGGCAGCCCUUCUUAUUUUAAUGUUCUCACUCUUACCCACAAACUAAAUUUACAUUUCUUGCUGUUAUAAAUUUUAUAUUUUUGUGUGUGGAGAAACAUUCCAUCAAGAAGACUGAAGCCCAGUAAACUCCCAAAGACAAGACUUUCAGAAGGUCUGAAGACAAGUCACAUCAAACCACUGACCUAAGAAAAAUGGAAUUAAUGUUGCAACUGCAUUCUCCUAACUUCUCACUGGACUUGAGAUGGCAGGUAUGGUCAAGAGAGACACUGGAAGAUGGAAGUUACUUCAGUGUUCCAGUUGCUGGUGUAGCCAGGGCUUCACAGGUGAGGAAACUGAACUCCAAAAGAACUGAAGUGACUCAAUUAAAGUCAAAGGACUAUUCCC